UACGUAGGGUGCAAGCGUUGUCCGGAAUUAUUGGGCGUAAAGAGCUCGUAGGCGGUCUGUCGCGUCGGCUGUGAAAACUCGGGGCUCAACUCCGAGCUUGCAGUCGAUACGGGCAGGCUAGAGUUCGGCAGGGGAGACUGGAAUUCCUGGUGUAGCGGUGAAAUGCGCAGAUAUCAGGAGGAACACCGGUGGCGAAGGCGGGUCUCUGGGCCGAUACUGACGCUGAGGGGCGAAAGCGUGGGGAGCGAACAGG
rnacentral:rRNA from 1 species